rfam:Triticum aestivum genome assembly, contig: Triticum_aestivum_CS42_TGACv1_scaffold_031494_1BL
CAUAUACUCCCUCCGUCCGGAAAUACUUGUCGCGGAAAUGCAUAAAAUGGAUGUACCUAGAACUAGAAUAUGUCUAGAUACAUCCAUUCCUCCGACAAGUAUUUUUGGACGGAGGGAGUAGAUG